UACGGGGGGAGCAAGCGUUGUUCGGAUUUACUGGGCGUAAAGGGCGCGUAGGCGGUCGUGACAAGUCACUUGUGAAAUCUCCGGGCUUAACUCGGAACGGUCAAGUGAUACUGUCGUGCUAGAGUACAGAAGGGGCAACUGGAAUUCUCGGUGUAGCGGUGAAAUGCGUAGAUAUCGAGAGGAACACCGGUGGCGAAGGCGGGUCUCUGGGCCGAUACUGACGCUGAGGUGCGAAAGCGUGGGGAGCAAACAGG
rnacentral:rRNA from 1 species